UACGUAGGGUGCGAGCGUUGUCCGGAAUUAUUGGGCGUAAAGAGCUCGUAGGCGGUGUGUCACGUCGGCCGUGAAAACCUGCAGCUUAACUGUGGGCGUGCGGUCGAUACGGGCAUCACUGGAGUUCGGCAGGGGAGACUGGAAUUCCCGGUGUAGCGGUGAAAUGCGCAGAUAUCAGGAGGAACACCGGUGGCGAAGGCGGGUCUCUGGGCCGAUACUGACGCUGAGGAGCGAAAGCGUGGGGAGCAAACAGG
rnacentral:rRNA from 1 species